rnacentral:rRNA from 1 species
GGCUCACCAAGGCGAUGACAGGUAGCCGGCCUGAGAGGGCGACCGGCCACACUGGGACUGAGACACGGCCCAGACUCCUACGGGAGGCAGCAGUGGGGAAUAUUGCACAAUGGGCGAAAGCCUGAUGCAGCGACGCCGCGUGAGGGAUGACGGCCUUCGGGUUGUAAACCUCUUUCAGUAGGGAAGAAGCGAAAGUGACGGUACCUGCAGAAGAAGCGCCGGCUAACUAUGUGCCAGCAGCCGCGGUAAUACGUAGGGCGCAAGCGUUGUCCGGAAUUAUUGGGCGUAAAGAGCUCGUAGGUGGCUUGUCGCGUCUGCCGUGAAAACCCGAGGCUCAACCUCGGGCGUGCGGUGGGUACGGGCAGGCUAGAGUGUGGUAGGGGAGACUGGAACUCCUGGUGUAGCGGUGAAAUGCGCAGAUAUCAGGAAGAACACCGAUGGCGAAGGCAGGUCUCUGGGCCAUUACUGACACUGAGGGGCGAAAGCAUGGGUAGCGAACAGGAUUAGAUACCCUGGUAGUCCAUGCCGUAAACGUUGGGCACUAGAUGUGGGGAACAUUCCACGUUUUCCGCGUCGUAGCUAACUCAUUAAGUGCCCCGCCUGGGGAGUACGGUCGCAAGACUAAAACUCAAAGGAAUUGACGGGGGCCCGCACAAGCGGCGGAGCAUGCUGAUUAAUUCGAUGCAACGCGAAGAACCUUACCAAGGCUUGACAUGCACCGGACGACUCCAGAGAUGGAGUUUUCUUCGGACUGGUGCACAGGUGGUGCAUGGUUGUCGUCAGCUCGUGUCGUGAGAUGUUGGGUUAAGUCCCGCAACGAGCGCAACCCUUGUUCUAUGUUGCCAGCACGUCAUGGUGGGGACUCAUAGGAGACUGCCGGGGUCAACUCGGAGGAAGGUGGGGACGACGUCAAAUCAUCAUGCCCCUUAUGUCUUGGGCUUCAAGCAUGCUACAAUGGUCGGUACAAUGGGUUGCGAAACUGUGAGGUGGAGCGAAUCCCAAAAAGCCGGCCUCAGUUCGGAUUGGGGUCUGCAACUCGACCCCAUGAAGUCGGAGUCGCUAGUAAUCGCAGAUCAGCAACGCUGCGGUGAAUACGUUCCCGGGCCUUGUACACACCGCCCGUCAGGUCACGAAAGUCGGUAACACCCGAAGCC